rnacentral:misc_RNA from 1 species
GGGUCAUCAUUAUUGCUCUAGCAAUUGGCAGAAGUCCUACAAUAGCAAUCAAUAGUUGAUCUGAGGUGCUUGUCCUAACUGUGAUUUGCCCGCUUUUCUUGCUGUUUAAUCCGGCCCUAACAGCAAUCUUGGAAUUCCUUCCAACAGAGAACUGAGAUUGCAGAUUGCAUCCCCAUAUGAGAUCGUUUCUCCAUUUCAUCAAAGAAAGGCCGAGUGAACUUUGGUCCUGUCCAACAGGGUAAUCUUUCUCUCUCAGACGCAACUCUAAGUUGGCUCCAUAUGCUGCAUUACCCUGAGACAUGAUGGUGCCAGUACUUCCCACCACAACUAACUGUUUACCAAUGGAAAAUUGGUCCUCCAAUUUCAAUCCCGUCACUA